rnacentral:pre_miRNA from 1 species
CACCUACUCCCUCCGUCCCAAAAUUCUUGUCUUAGAUUUGUUUAGAUAUGAAUGUAUCUAGUCAAGUUUUAGUAUUUGGAUACAUGCAUUUCUAAAAAAAACUAAGACAAGAAUUUUGGGAUGGAGGGAGUAUUAA